rnacentral:lncRNA from 1 species
GAGCUUGAUUUCUCAAGUUGUGUGGAAUCCACCUUCAAAACCUCACUAACAUGAUAUAUCUAUGAAAAUAGUGUUUUUCUAUCUGAUAUUAACUAACUUGAUAUUUUACAAAAUGAUCUGAAAUGCUAUUUAUAGACUUCUGAAAUAGGCUUAUUCGCUACGCGAAUCCGUGUUCGCUAAGCGAAUAAGUUGCUUAGUUGAAGAGGUUUGCUGACACGUGUAUUUAGCUGUGACUCAUCCUUUGCUCGCUAGGUGUUCGCUGCAGCGAGCUUAUUCGCUGCAUGCUCGCUGCGUGUUCGCUAAGUACCUUGGACUCCCUGCCUUCGUUCGCUGUGUGUUCGCUGUGGCUUCGCUGUAGCGAGUUUGUUCGCUGC